UACAGAGGUGGCAAGCGUUGUUCGGAAUUACUGGGCGUAAAGGGCGCGUAGGCGGCUUUGCAAGACAGAUGUGAAAUCCCCGGGCUUAACCUGGGAACUGCAUUUGUGACUGCAUGGCUGGAGUGCGGCAGAGGGGGAUGGAAUUCCGCGUGUAGCAGUGAAAUGCGUAGAUAUGCGGAGGAACACCGAUGGCGAAGGCAAUCCCCUGGGCCUGCACUGACGCUCAUGCACGAAAGCGUGGGGAGCAAACAGG
rnacentral:rRNA from 1 species